GACGAACGCUGGCGGCGUGCCUAAUACAUGCAAGUAGAACGCUGAAGGAGGAGCUUGCUUCUCCGGAUGAGUUGCGAACGGGUGAGUAACGCGUAGGUAACCUGCCUGGUAGCGGGGGAUAACUAUUGGAAACGAUAGCUAAUACCGCAUAAGAGUAGAUGUUGCAUGACAUUUGCUUAAAAGGUGCAAUUGCAUCACUACCAGAUGGACCUGCGUUGUAUUAGCUAGUUGGUGGGGUAACGGCUCACCAAGGCGACGAUACAUAGCCGACCUGAGAGGGUGGUCGGCCACACUGGGACUGAGACACGGCCCAGACUCCUACGGGAGGCAGCAGUAGGGAAUCUUCGGCAAUGGACGGAAGUCUGACCGAGCAACGCCGCGUGAGUGAAGAAGGGUUUCGGAUCGUAAAGCUCUGUUGUAAGAGAAGAACGAGUGUGAGAGUGGAAAGUUCACACUGUGACGGUAUCUUACCAGAAAGGGACGGCUAACUACGUG
rnacentral:rRNA from 1 species